GGAGAAGUGGCUCAGUGGUAAAGAGCACUUUGUUGUCUUGGCUGAGGACCUGGGUUAGGCUCCCAGCAUUCCCA
rnacentral:tRNA from 1 species